UACGUAGGGGGCAAGCGUUGUCCGGAUUUAUUGGGCGUAAAGAGCGUGUAGGCGGCCAAGCAGGUCAGCUGUGAAAACUCGAGGCUCAACCUCGAGACGUCGGUUGAAACCGCUUGGCUAGAGUCCGGAAGAGGAGAGUGGAAUUCCCGGUGUAGCGGUGAAAUGCGCAGAUAUCGGGAAGAACACCCGUGGCGAAGGCGGGCUACUC
rnacentral:rRNA from 1 species